UACGUAGGGUGCGAGCGUUGUCCGGAAUUAUUGGGCGUAAAGGGCUCGUAGGCGGUUUGUCGCGUCGGGAGUUAAAACCUCGGGCUUAACUCGGGGCUUGCUUUCGAUACGGGCAGACUGGAGGUAUGCAGGGGAGAACGGAAUUCCUGGUGUAGCGGUGAAAUGCGCAGAUAUCAGGAGGAACACCGGUGGCGAAGGCGGUUCUCUGGGCAUGACCUGACGCUGAGGAGCGAAAGUGUGGGGAGCGAACAGG
rnacentral:rRNA from 1 species